GUUUCAUCGGACCGCUCUGCCGAUCUCUCGGCGUGGAGGAAACGUAAACAAAGAAAAUGUACUCUCUUGUCCAUUUUUUGGCGGAAAAUGAUGUCGCAGUUGUCCCUACCUGUUGGGUGUGCAAUGGCUGCACGGCAUGGCCACCCUACAAAUCAAAUCGGUUGAUGAUGGCAAUUAGAGAGCGUGAAGAGCCCUCGACUGACUGGGCCACAUUCUCCUGUCAGGUGAUGGCAUCAUGUUUGACAUAUGAAGAUGCAAAGUACAAAGAAAAAAAAUUCGGAAGCGACGUCCGACCUAACAUUGAAUAAUGAAGAGCGGGAGAAGAGAAAAAGGAAGAGACUGCAGCAUACUCUUUCUUCAUUUGAGGAUGAGGACUUCUAUGACCAAGAUGAACGACGUAACACUCAGCCAGCCCCUCAACUUCCAGAACGUGCACCAGAGCCCAAGCAAAAACGCACACGUGAGCUGUGCGCACCUGCCUUAAACAGAAGGCAGAAAACAAUGAGCCAGCCAUCAUCGUGCAGGAAGCCGACGCCAAAUGGGCUGCUGCUGAAUCGGUCAGGCAUGCACCAGCUAGGACCAAGAAAAUG
rnacentral:lncRNA from 1 species